UACGUAGGGUGCGAGCGUUAAUCGGAAUUACUGGGCGUAAAGCGUGCGCAGGCGGCGCGUUAAGACAGGUGUGAAAGCCCCGAGCUUAACUUGGGAAUUGCGCUUGUGACUGGCGAGCUAGAGUACGGAAGAGGCGAGUGGAAUUCCUGGUGUAGCGGUGGAAUGCGCAGAUAUCAGGAGGAACACCGAUGGCGAAGGCAGGUCUCUGGGCCACUACUGACGCUGAGAAGCGAAAGCAUGGGGAGCGAACAGG
rnacentral:rRNA from 1 species